GCUGGGCAUGGUGGCGCACACCUGUAAUCCCAGCUACUCAGGAGGCUGAGGCAGGAGAAUUGCUUGAACCCAGGAAGUAAAGGUUGCAGUGAGCAGAGAUUGCACCACUGCACUCUAGCCUGGGUGAUAGAGCGAGACUCCGUCUCAA
rnacentral:SRP_RNA from 1 species